rnacentral:rRNA from 1 species
AUGACCGGAAGCAAUGACUUGGUGGUGGACGUGCACAAGAUUCCAUCUAUGCCCACCAAUGUCGAGUGGGGUGACGCCUCAUCUUCUAAGAUAUUGGGACUUGGCAAGGUGGCCAUCUCUCAUGAUCUCACGAUCGAGAAGGUCAUGCUUGUUGAGUCCCUUGCAUACAAUUUACUUUCCGUUCGUCAACUUGCAAUCAUGGGCUUUGCCACUUUCUUUGAUAUCGAUACCGUGGACCUCUUGUGGAGCAAGACUCUUAAAGUAUCCUUUGUUGGGCAUGUCGAGAACGGUCUAUAUGUGAUUAACUUUUCGGAGCGACCCACUAAGACUGCGACAUGCCUAAUGGCUAAAGUUGAUGUGGGAUGGCUUUGGCAUCGCCGUCUAGCCCAUGUCAAUAUGAGAUCUUUGCAAAGUCUUCUCAAGGGGGACCAUGUCCGUGGACUAACGAAUGUUAGUUUUGCUAAAGAUCGUGCUUGCAGUGCUUGUAUCGAAGGAAAGCUACAUGAGAAGGCUCACCCUCCCACGACUAUCAUUUACUCAAAGAGGCCUUUGGAGCUCCUUCAAUUGGAUCUCUUUGGGCCUCCAUCCUUCGAUAGUCUUGGGGGUAGGAAGUAUUGCUUGGUGAUUGUGGAUGACUACUCAAGAUACACUUGGGUGUAUUUCUUCAAGAGGAAGAGCGAGACCCAACAAACCGUCAUUGACUUUGCAAAUGAAGCACAACGUCAACACAAUGCAAAGAUCUUGACAAUAAGAAGUGACAACGGCACUGAGUUCAAGAACUACACCUUGGAUGAGUUUCUUAGUGAUGAGGGGAUCAUGCAUCAAUAUUCGGCACCUUACACCCCUCAACAAAACGGUGUUGUGGAGAGGAAGAAUCGGACGUUGAUGGAUGCGGCAAGGAUCAUGAUGGCGGAGUUCAAGUGUCCGUACAACUUUUGGGCCGAAGCCAUCAACACCGCGUGUCAUGCAUCCAAUCGGCUCUACCUCCGCAAGGGCUUGAACAAGACUCCAUAUGAGAUACUCACCGGUAACAAGCCCAACCUCAAGUACUUUUGGGUGUUCGUGUGUAAGUGUUUCAUUCUCAAGAAAGGUGUUCGGUUGUUAAAUUUGAGGCUAGAACUUAUGAGGGCAUAUUUGUUG